ACGCAGCCUCUCCACAUCAUGCUGGAGUCAGCAGUGAGCGCAGAGCAGUCCGAGGUGGGAGUCCCCGUCAGUCCGUGUUCCCCCACCCCCAACCCCAGUCUCAGAGGUGCAGAAAAUGUCUUAUUCUAAGGAGAAAUACUCUGGACAUCACAGCGCCCCCCAGCCACAUCAACACCAGUUCCGGCCACAUGCGUGUGGUUGAAAAACAGCAAUCACAGGGGUAAAGCUUGAGGGGCAUCAAGCUGACCUGACCAGGGAAGACAAAGUGGGUGCUGUGGAGUCGGGAUGUGAGGGAGGGUCCCUGUUUCCCCUCCCUCCUAGGAACCAGAAAGGAUACGGGGUCACUACAGAAGCGAGGAGGUCCCAAGGGCCUUCGGACGGCCCACCUGUGGCCCGGGGGUGGGCAUCUGACUCCGGGUGUACAGGGGCGUGCGUACGUGGGUGUGCGCGCACGUGUGUUCAGGUCGCGUGUUCGGGGAUUAUGCGUGCGUGUGUGUGCAGUGCGCGCUCGUGUACCCCGCGUGUGCACGGGCCUGGCGGCGGCGGGCGCGCGACCCGGCCGCGGUAGUGCGUGCCCGUCGCUCUGUGCGCCCGCCCGCCGGAGCGCAGCAUCGCCUCCGGCCAAGAGCGUGCAUGCGUGGGAAUUCCACGCCUGCCCCUGAGAUCACUCAAGCUGCCCUGGAGAGGAGAGCCGAGGAGGAUCGAGGAACCCAGCAGGAGGGAGGUGGCGGUGACAGGCCUGGAGUGUGAAAAGUGAUGGGGCACCCUGAGCCCAGGUCUGAGGGGAACCUGAGGUCCAGGAGAACCUCUCCAGGUGCGCGAGUGCGUGAACACGGUUGGAGGGAAGCAGGGAUGGGAAGCUCACGUCCACGGGGAAGCCUGACGGGGAGAGGUGUGGCUCAUGUGAAAUCCCAACCUUAGGAUGUAACUGGUAUCCAUUCCCUGGUACAAAUGAGGAAACGGAGGCAUGAAGAGGCUGAGCAAUUUGGUCUCAUCACGCAGUGACAGCACGCAAAUUUGGCUUUUUCAGUCUGUGAGAGGUUGCAUUUUGCAGAGAGGGCCACCUCAAGAACUCCCAUCCCACACAUACAGGACAAGGCCGAUGUCCUCCCGUGGACACACGCCCCUCCCGCGCUCCCUCUCCUUGAGUUUGGGUAAAUUUGAACGUGCAAAAAGUGGUGCUCUGUUGCUUCUGAGCUAGUCAGAAAAUGCAAUGUAGCUUCUGCUUGGGGCUCUUGGGAUGCUCACCUCUGGAGCCUUAUGCCGCCAUGUGUGAGGAACAACAACCAGCCCACACAGAGAGAGCGCAUGGAGAGGCCCUGAGAGGACAGGGACUGGAGAGAGAUGCCCUGCCAGUGCGCACUGCUCCCAUCCUGCUGUUCCUGCCCCAGCCACCGGCUCCACCUUCAUGCGAGACCCCGAGCCAGACCAGCCAGCCAAGCCCGCUCUGGCUUCCUGACCCACAGAAACUGUGAGAGAUCAGAUCAUGAAAUGGUUUUGAUUGCCUUGAGCCACUGGGUUUCGGGCUGGUUCAUUUCGCAGCAUUGGGUCAUUGGAACACGACCCAUUGCCAUCCAGUUGGGCCAAUGUUCAAGAUAAUCUGGAGUCCUCCUGCUUCUCCCAUCUCGACCCACCACCCUGCUCUGGGCCACCAUCGCCCUUGCCUGGACCCCCGCAGUAGCUUCCUGACUGGUGUCCCUCCUUCUGCCCUCCACCCUGUGGGUCUGUUCUCCACACAGCAGCCCGAGGGGGCCUGUGGAGCAGAAACACCUCUGCCCAAAGCCCCCGCAGUGGCUCCCAUCUACCCGAGUCCUGACAACGACCCGCAGGCCCUCCAUGAUCUGCCCCACAGCCUCUCCGGCUGCAGCCCCUUCCUCCCCCCGUCAUCCCUCACUCACUCCCCUCCAGCCGUCCCCAAAUGCAUCAGGCACACCCCUUCCUCAGAGCUGUUGUCCAUGCUGUUCCCAAGGUGUCUUCCUGGCAGGGUGAGAGGAGGGGCGGGGAGCCUCCCAAAAUGGGCUGUCCCCCUGCUCAGGGCUCCUCCUCAUGUUCCAAAUGAGGACGUGAGGCCCUGGGAAGGCAAAUCAUUUGUUGAAAGCUCACCAGUCAUUCAUGUAUUCAACAAAUGUGAAAGCUUCAUAGAAUCAAAACCUUCUGGAGUCAUUGAAUCCAGACUCUGAGUUCAAAUCCCAGGGCUGCCACCUGCAAGCCAAGGGGGGCAAGUCACUUAGCCUCUCUGUGCCCCAGUGGACAUGCGGA